CCUACGGGGGGCAGCAGUGAGGAAUAUUGGUCAAUGGGCGAGAGCCUGAACCAGCCAAGUCGCGUGAGGGAGUAAUGCCCUAUGGGUUGUAAACCUCUUUUGUCGGGGAGCAAAAGCCGGACGUGUCCGGCUGUGAGAGUACCCGAAGAAAAAGCAUCGGCUAACUCCGUGCCAGCAGCCGCGGUAAUACGGAGGAUGCGAGCGUUAUCCGGAUUUAUUGGGGUAACGGGGUGAGCAGGCGGAUUUUUAAGUCAGCGGUCAAAGCGUGGGGCUCAACCCCAUCCAGCCGUUGAAACUGGGGAUCUAGAGUGUGCGAGAGGUAUGCGGAAUGCGUGGUGUAGCGGUGAAAUGCAUAGAUAUCACGCAGAACCCCGAUUGCGAAGGCAGCAUACCGGUGCACAACUGACGCUCAGGCACGAAAGCGUGGGUAUCGAACAGGAUUAGAUACCCCAGUAGUC
rnacentral:rRNA from 1 species